rnacentral:rRNA from 1 species
CUUACUGGACUAAGUGGAAACGAUGUGAGAUUGCCCAGACAGCCAGGAGGUUGGCGUUAGAAGCAGCCACCCUUGAAAGAGUGCGUAACAGCUCACUGGUCGAGUGAUCUUGCGCGGAUAAUGUAACGGGGCUCAAGUCCAGAGCCGAAGCCGCGAAUUCACGCGUAUGCGUGAGUGGUAGGGGAGCGUUGUGCGUGCAGCGAAGCGGCGGUGUGAACCAGUCGUGGAGCGCGCACAAGUGAGAAUGCUGGCAUGAGUAGCGAGAGAGGGGUGAGAAACCCCUCCGCCGUAAGCCCAAGGGUUCCUGGGGAAGGCUAAUCCGCCCAGGGUAAGUCGGGAGCUAAGGCGAGGCCGAAAGGCGUAGUCGAUGCACAACCGGUUGAUAUUCCGGUACUACCGUGUACGCGCCCAAACCAAGUUCCGGUUGCUAAGGGGCUGUCACUUCGGUGACGAACCGACCCACUGGAAGGCGGUUAGCAAUGAGGGGGACGCAGGAGGGUAGGUGAGCCCAGGCGAUGGUUGUCCUGGG